rnacentral:rRNA from 1 species
AACGAACGCUGGCGGCAUGCCUAACACAUGCAAGUCGAACGAGGCCUUCGGGUCUAGUGGCGCACGGGUGCAUAACGCGUGGGAACCUGCCCUUAGGUUCGGAAUAACUCCCCGAAAGGGGUGCUAAUACCGGAUAAUGUCUUCGGACCAAAGAUUUAUCGCCUUUGGAUGGGCCCGCGUUGGAUUAGCUAGUUGGUAGGGUAAAAGCCUACCAAGGCGACGAUCCAUAGCUGGUCUGAGAGGAUGAUCAGCCACACUGGGACUGAGACACGGCCCAGACUCCUACGGGAGGCAGCAGUGGGGAAUAUUGGACAAUGGGCGAAAGCCUGAUCCAGCAAUGCCGCGUGAGUGAUGAAGGCCUUAGGGUUGUAAAGCUCUUUUACCCGGGAUGAUAAUGACAGUACCGGGAGAAUAAGCUCCGGCUAACUCCGUG